rnacentral:rRNA from 1 species
UACGAGGGGGGCAAGCGGUUGUUCGGAAUUAUUGGGCGUAAAGAGCUCGUAGGCGGUUUGUCGCGUCUGCCGUGAAAGUCCGGGGCUCAACUCCGGAUCUGCGGUGGGUACGGGCAGGACUAGAGUGAUGUAGGGGGAGACUGGAAUUCCUGGGUGUAGCGGUAGAAAUGCGCAGAUAUCAGGAGGAACACCGAUGGCGAAGGCAGGUCUCUGGGCAUUAACUGACGCUGAGGAGCGAAAGCAUGG